CUCUGACCUCACAAAGGCCUGCUUCAGAACUCAGUCUCCACUGCACUGCUGGCCAGACGAGGGAUGUUAUUUUGGGCAGUGCAUCUGGACUUGGUUCAAGUGGCACCAGCCAAAUCCCUGCCUUACUGACCUCUCCCCUGGAGGAGCAGGAGCAGCGCUCAAGGCCGCCUUGGGAGGGCUGAGAGGCAGGCUCUGGACUGGGGACACAGGGAUAGCUGAGCCCCAGCUGGGGGUGGAAGCUGAGCCAGAGACAGUCACAGAGGAACAAGAUCAAGAUGCGCUUUAACUGAGAAGCCCCCAAGGCAGAGGCUGAGAAUCAGAAGACAUUUCAGCAGACAUCUACAAAUCUGAAGGACAAAACAUGGUUCAAGCAUCUGGGCACAGGCGGCUGGAUUGUACCAGUGUCCUUUACUGCAGUGACUGAACAUUCUAGGCACAGUAGAUUCAAGAAAUCUUGAGUUCAUUGGCUGAACAUACAUAUGAUAGUUGAGAAAGACACAUAUUCUGAUCAUGAAGAAAUAAACACAAGUUAAAUAUGACUAAGCAGAAAGAUGGAAGGACCAGGAACGGUGAUGCUAACUUGGAACCACGAUGCAGGCUCUAAACUCCUCUACAAUCAUCCCCCCUUGUGAGAAAAAUACGGCUGCCGCAGUUUGCUGGGGGUCCACUCCAGACCCUAUUCACUUGGUCCCUCCCCUACCUGGAGGUGUCACCAGUGGAAGCUGCAGAACAGCAAGGAUGGCUGCCUGCUCCUUCUUUUUUGAGCUCCAUCCCAGAGGGGCACUGAUGUGAUGCCAGCAGGAACACUCCUGUAUAAGGUGCCUGGAGACCCCUGUUGGUGGUCUCAAUCAGUUAGGGAGUAUGUACAGGAUCGGGGACCACUUAACAAAGCACUCUGGCUGCCCCUUGGCAGAGAGGGUGCACUGCACUGGAGGGAAUCUCCCUUGUCCAGAAUGUCCAGACCCUUCAGAGCCAGCAGGCAGGAAAGACUAAGUCUGCUGAACCGCAGAGACUGUGGCUGUCCCUCCCCACAGGAGUUCUGCCCAGGAAGAUCAGAGUUCUGUCCAUAAACCUCUGGCUGGAGUUGGUGAAAUUCCCACAAGGGGGCCCCACCCAAUGAGUAGGGAUGGAUCCAGGUUCCACCUAAAAAAGCAGUCUGGCCAUGAUCUGCCACAGCUGCUGUGCUCCCGGUCUAAACCUCCCUGUCUCCCCAGCACCACCAGGGGAAAACAGCCAACUGAUGCCACAGUGAUAGCAACCACCCCUUCCCCUGGGAACUCAGUCAUCUUAGACAGUCUCCAGUCUGCUGUCACUGGCCACAGCCUGAGCGGUGAUGAGAGUCUGCACAGCUCUGUGCUUGGCACCCAAGGCCCUGGUGGUGUGGACUCACAAGGGGAUCUCUUGAUCUGUGAGUUGCACAGAUCCAUGGAAAAAGCAUGGUUCCUCAGGAAAGGGAGCACAAUCACUCACUGCCUCCCUUGACUGGGGGUGGGAGUGCCCCUUGCCCCAUGCAGCUCCCAAGUGAGGCAUUGCUCCACCCUGCUUUUCCUUGCUCCCUGUGGGUCAGGCCAAUCACCUUGUCACUCCCAGUGAGAGAAUCUGGAUACCUCAGAUGAAGGUGCAGAAUUCACUCGCCAUUUUUGUUCUUCUAGAUGGGAGUCACAGACCACAGCUGCUUCUAAUUGGCCAUCUUGGCACCUCCUCAUUUAACCUUCUUUUCUCAUCUAAAGGGGAUAAAGGAUGAAACUGUCCCAAAGAAAAGUUUAUAAACCAAUUAAGGGAGAAAAUAAAAUUCAACUAGGCUUGCAGAAUAAUCAGUGGCAAUCAUGAAAUCCACUUCCCAAUUUGGCCUACUUCCUUGUAGCUAGUUACUUCUUACUCCCCCAAGAUAGUGUAGCCCUUGUCACAAGAAUGUGUUCCUUUUCUUUUCUAUAGAUAAGAUCUAAGGCACAUGAGAUGAUAUGCUUUCUGUUUGAGUUUCUCCUUUAUGUUACGCAUACUGAUAAAAUUGUUGAUGCCAGUUGAUCUGAAGGUCCCAGCAAGGAGCCGACUCACAGAAGAAUGCAGUUUUCACAUCAUGAUGAUUUAAUCUUCCUUGACCUGAGCAAUUGACAACCCCAAUUCUCCAGAACCUCACCCGCCACAAUCCCCUUAAAAACCCUGGCCCAGAACCCCUCAAGCAGACAGAUGUGAAGCUUGAGGAUUCCUUCAUCUCUUUGCCCAAUGGCAUUGUGAUUAUUAAACUCUUUUUCUGCUGCAAAUUA